UGAGUAUAAGGUGCUAUUAUUGUAAUGUGAAUAUGGCGAUUGACAAUCCAUUGGUUAAAAUCGUUUCUUGUGCUAAGCCGGCCCAAUGGGUUUGCCCUCCGGACUCUGAUAGUUGUAUUAAGAUUAUUCUGGAAAAUUCAAUACUCAAAGACUGUGUCCGGCACGACCAAAACCAUACAGCUAAAUAUUUAAAAUUUUGCAAAAUUAUUAAUACAGACACGCACCAAAAUUGUAAAAUUUGCACUACGGAUCUGUGCAAUUCGGCGCCAAGUCGCCACAGCCACCUUACUAUUGUACUAUUAAUAUUAUUUUUGCUCAUUAAACUAUAGUUGUGUGUUUGCGUUUUC